AGUCCAAUUAGCAAAAAAAAAAUUAAAUCAAACUGAUCAGAAUGGGCCUGAAGUUCAAUGUUAAGCCCAGACAGGGGGGUGCUGGACUGGAAAGAGUGUGCAAAUGUCAAUUAUAUGGGCCUAAGCCCAAACUGGUCCAACACAAGAGAUUCAGAACCUCCCUCACGUGCCAAACCAUACACCGCUCCUUCAAAUGUUCCCUCCACAAUCCUGGCCGGCGAGCAAAGCCUCCGCCGCGCCGGAGCUCAUCGUCGGUGGAGGCGGAGCUCCAAACGUGAAAACCAACCAACCAAACGGUCGUCUCUACCUCACGGUCUCGAAUAUCCAAACCAAAAUUCUUAAUUCUAAACUCGCCGGCAGAAUCGCGAGCAAACACGCACGAACCCUAAGUUACCUCAACGACAAUUAAACUCGACACACUGACAAUCAAACACUAAUAGGUUAGGGUUUUGAUCUCCCUAACCUGAUACAAUGCCGUGGUAGGCGGAUCGAAGCCAGAGCAUAAGGAUUAGGUGUGUUACCUGUCGGAGAUGACGACGGAGACGGCGACAGCGAUAGUGUCGAGUACAGGUUGGGAUUGGCUUAUGCAGCUAUUGGAUGGUUUGAUUAUUUGGUGUUUUGGCGGUUUUGCAGCAGCUUAUCGGGUUUUAUGCAGGCCGCCAUCGCAGCAGUUUUCAUUGCCAUUCGAAUUGUCGGCGUAUGGUGUUGGCUUGUGUCGUCUUCGGCCCCAGCUGGUGCGUGCUCUGUUGUUUGGUUGCAGCCGAACAUAUGCAGGAACCAAUUCUGUCUUGGUGGAAUCAGGACCAACAGCUACGCCGAACUCACAGAGUUGAUUGAUAACCAUGUGACAAACGCGCCAUGACUUAUCUUGAGGAAAAUUGACUGUAACAAGAAGGACAUGUGCCACACAAUCUAGAAGCUCCAAUAGUUUCUAAGUGUUGCACAACCCUCAACAGCAAGAAGGCAAACAGAGUCCCGAUCUCCCUGUGUGAGAUCAUCGAACACAGACAUGAUGCCAGUUUCCAAGUGAGCAGCUUCAACAGUAGCAGCAUAUUUUCCCAGGUUGACCAUUUGUUUUGUUUCUCGUCUCUCCAUUCUCACCAUCCACAUCAGCAGUGAAACUAGUUGGACCUGUCUCAUUGAACAACCUGCCAUUAGGAGCAGUUCCUAUGUAUGAAACAUGCUGCUUUUUCCUGGAAGAUUUCCUAGAAUGGACUCUUGUGUCAAGUCCGGAAGGAUCAACACCAUUUUCUUGAACAUUUCUAUCUUUCAUGCCAUUUCCAUCAACUGAAUAUGCUGAUGUUGACUACCUUUCUCUCUUACUUCCAACAUUUGUUUGGGUUCGUGAUUGCUUGGCCUUAGGUGUAGCAUGGUUGGAAAUUCCAGCAGCAGCCUUCGUCACACCUGCAGUACCAUGGCCAUCUUUACUCUUUUGAACCUUACAAGAGGACUCGUCUCCAGCCAUAAGCAGCAACACUGGACUCCUCUCACUUUGGGCAAUGGAGACCUUGCCGUUACUACCUUUAGAGUUAUCCCUUUAUUGCUUUAAUCCCUUCAACCAAUGUAGAGAACACUCAUGCCACUUAUGGUUUCUUUGUUACUCUCUCAAGCCUAUGUCCCCUUGUGGCUUCCAAAAGAAUAGUUGUGAGAUUUAUUUCGAUUGAGACUGAGUACUUAAUACCUGUCAUUGGCUAAAUAUUGAUAUACUCUGUCUUUACACCUAUAUGAACUUCUCAAGUAGUCCUGUGACAUGCGCAACCCUGGAACUCCACUGGCAUCCAUAAAUCACAUUUUGCCUAGCAACAUUGUGAGAAAAAUCUCAAGCUUUGCGACACGACAUGACUCCGUUUAAUUUAAGCAAGGAACGUUCUUCUGUUGGUCUGCCAUUACUGAAUUCUCGCCGAUCAGCCCAACAAUGGAGGCUGCCAUAACUUGUGCAAGGUUGUUCAUCACAUUACCAACACUACUAGCAUUACCAUCUCGAAGUUGCAUGUUGUUGGAAGACUCAGAAAUAAUCAUAGAUCGAUGUUGGGUGAUUGUUAUGCGUCCGGAAGCUUGCGCACUGCUGCGGUUCUAUCGUCGUCGGCGUGUGCGUUUGGCCUUGGCAGCUUGUUUUAUUCUUUGGAUUACUGUAUUUGGAUUUGGAAGCUUCACAAAUAGCAGCUUUUUGGUUGCUUUGGCUUUGGAAUGAGGUUGGUUGAGGGGUUCCCUUCUUUGGCGUCUGGAGUUGAGGUUUGGAUGCGACUUUUUUGGGUCAUCAACUGAAAGCCGGUUAUUAAUAGAAUUUUCCAAUUCUUUCAACCUUACCUUCUUUUCCGUAAAAACUGACAUGGCCUGAGAAGCUUGAACAACUGUGGUUCGGGCUAUUCUUCUAGAAUUCUCAACAAUUUCAGCUAUAUGAUUUUGUGAUCUAGAUUCUUGGUUGUGGCGGUUCGUCGGCUUGGAGCUUGUUGCUGUGGUCUGGAUGCGUUUGUCUUUUGGCUUUGAAGAAGAAUGAACAGAGGGCUGGUUUUGGUUUACUUAGACUUUUUUGAUUUAAAAAAUUGGAUAUGACUUGGAUUAAAUUGGUGGUAAAUGGUUAAUUGGAUUUUUGGACUUUUAAGAAAAUUGAUAUGUACUUGGUUAUGGAUUUGGACAAUUCAAUGAAUUUGGAUAUUAGGACUUGGA